GACGAACGCUGGCGGCGUGCUUAACACAUGCAAGUCGAACGGAAAGGCCCUGCUUGCAGGGUACUCGAGUGGCGAACGGGUGAGUAACACGUGGGUGAUCUGCCCUGCACUUCGGGAUAAGCCUGGGAAACUGGGUCUAAUACCGGAUAGGAGCCAUUUUUAGUGUGAUGGUUGGAAAGUUUUUUCGGUGUAGGAUGAGCUCGCGGCCUAUCAGCUUGUUGGUGGGGUAAUGGUCUACCAAGGCGGCGACGGGUAGCCGGCCUGAGAGGGUGGACGGCCACAUUGGGACUGAGAUACGGCCCAGACUCCUACGGGAGGCAGCAGUGGGGAAGAUUGCACAAUGGGCGCAAGCCUGAUGCAGCGACGCCGCGUGGGGGAUGACGGCCUUCGGGUUGUAAACUCCUUUCGCUAGGGACGAAGCUUUUUGUGACGGUACCUAGAGAAGAAGCACCGGCUAACUACGUG
rnacentral:rRNA from 1 species